AUGGCAUCGUCGGCCCGCGCCGCCGCCUCCGCCGCGAGAUCGGCCCUCCGCCGGGCGCCCCUCGCCGCCUCCUCGUCCUCUUCCGCCGCCGGGAUCCUCCGCAGGUCGGCGGCGGCGGGCCUGGGGACGCGGAUGCCCCUCCACAGCGCGGCGUCGGCGGCGCGCCUGGGAUCCUGCAUCACCCAAGAUGGCAACAAUGCUUUCUCAUGGAACUCCAGGCGCAUGUUCAGUUCAAAUGAGAAACAUCUGCCUGCAAUAUCUGACCCGAAAAUUGAGACUGCAUUUAAGGAUUUGAUGGCUGCUAGCUGGAACGAGCUUCCAGGUUCUCUUGUGGAGGAAGCAAAGAAAGCAGUAUCUAUGGCUACUGAUGAUAAGGCUGGUCAAGAAGCUUUGGAAAAUGUAUUUCGUGCAGCUGAAGCAUGUGAAGAGUUUAGUGGAGUUUUAGUUAGCCUAAGAAUGGCUCUUGAUGAUCUUUGUGGUCUUACGGGCGAGAAUGUGGGCCCCUUGCCUGGUUACUUAGAAGAGGCUGUGAAAUCCGCGUAUAGCCGAUACAUGACAUAUCUGGAAUCUUUUGGCCCUGAAGAGCACUAUCUACGGAAAAAGGUGGAGAGCGAGUUGGGAACAAAAAUGAUUCACCUGAAAAUGAGAUGCAGUGGCAUAGGGUCUGAGUGGGGAAAGAUCACCCUGAUCGGCACCUCAGGGAUCUCAGGGUCCUACGUUGAGAUGAGGGCAUGA
rnacentral:rRNA from 1 species